UCUUACCUUGCAAGGCUUACCAUAAUACCCGUAACUUGCUGCUUGGGGUACGAGUGGCGAAUGGGCGAGUAACACGUGAGUNACCUGCCCCUGAUUUCGGGAUAAGCCUGGCAAACUGGGUCUAAUACCGGAUACUGACCACCUGACGCAUGUUGGGUGGNGGAAAGUUUUUCAAUCGGGGAUGGGCUCGCGGCCUAUCAACUUGUUGGUGGGGUAAUGGCCUACCAAGGCGACGACGGGUAGCCGGCCUGAGAGGGCGACCGGCCACACUGGGACUGAGACACGGCCCAGACUCCUACGGGAGGCAGCAGUGGGGAAUAUUGCACAAUGGGGGAAACCCUGAUGCAGCGACGCAGCGUGCGGGAUGACGGCCUUCGGGUUGUAAACCGCUUUCAGCAGGGAAGAAGCGAAAGUGACGGUUCCUGCAGAAGAAGUACCGGCUAACUACGUGCCAGCAGCCGCGGUAAUACGUAGGGUACGAGCGUUGUCCGGAAUUAUUGGGCGUAAAGAGCUCGUAAGUGGUUGGUCACGUCUGCUGUGGAAACGCAACGCUUACGUU
rnacentral:rRNA from 1 species